rnacentral:rRNA from 1 species
GAUGAACGCUAGCUACAGGCUUAACACAUGCAAGUCGAGGGGCAGCACAGUGUAGCAAUACAUGGGUGGCGACCGGCGCACGGGUGCGUAACGCGUAUCCAACCUUCCCGAUACUCUUGGAUAGCCUUCCGGAAGGGAGAUUAAUACAAGAUGUUGUUUCAAUUCCGCAUGUUAUUGAAACUAAAGAUUUAUCGGUAUCGGAUGGUGAUGCGUGACAUUAGAUAGUAGGCGGGGUAACGGCCCACCUAGUCUACGAUGUCUAGGGGUUCUGAGAGGAAGGUCCCCCACACUGGAACUGAGACACGGUCCAAACUCCUACGGGAGGCAGCAGUGAGGAAUAUUGGUCAAUGGUCGGAAGACUGAACCAGCCAAGUAGCGUGAAGGAUGAAGGUUCUAUGGAUUGUAAACGUCUUUUAUACGGGAAUAAAACCUCCCACGUGUGGGAGCUUGUAUGUACCGUAUGAAUAAGCAUCGGCUAACUCCGUGCCAGCCGCCGCUGUAACAC